rnacentral:tRNA from 1 species
GGCUGGUUAGCUCAGUCAGUUAGAGCAUGGUGCUGACAUCACCAAGGUCGCGGGUUCCAUCCCUGUUCGGUCC